UACGGAGGGUGCGAGCGUUGUCCGGAAUCAUUGGGCGUAAAGGGCGCGUAGGUGGCCCGGUCAGUUCGUGGUGAAAGCCCCGGGCUCAACCCGGGAAGUGCACUCGAUACUGCGAGGCUAGAGUACUGGAGAGGUGGGUGGAAUUCUCGGUGUAGAGGUGAAAUUCGUAGAUAUCGAGAGGAACACCGGCGGCGAAGGCGGCCCACUGGACAGAUACUGACGCUGAGACUCGAAAGCGUGGGGAGCAAACAGG
rnacentral:rRNA from 1 species